rnacentral:rRNA from 1 species
GACGAACGCUGGCGGCGUGCCUAACACAUGCAAGUCGUGCGAGAAAGUUCCUUCGGGAGCGAGUAAAGCGGCGCACGGGUGAGUAACACGUAGGUAACCUGCCCCCCAGUCUGGAACAACUAGAGGAAACUCUAGCUAAUGCCGGAUGAGACCACGAUCCCUUCGGGGGUUGCGGGCCCAAAAGAUGGCCUCUACUUGUAAGCUAUCGCUGAGGGAUGGGGCCUGCGGGCCAUUAGCUUGUGGUGAGGUAACGGCUCACCAAGGCUGUGAUGGCUAGCUGGUCUGACGAGGAU